AUGUUGGCCCCUCUGUCUUUAGUGACUGCACAGAAGAGAACGGUGAGAGCAGAGCUGUGGCUAAUGCGAGGACACAGCAGUCCUGCCCUGCCCGUUGGCCAGCGUGAUGACAAACUCCUCUCAGUUCUCCACGGAGAGCAGCGGGAGCUGAAGUGGCUCUUUCGGGAGAGAUGAAGCCUCCACAGCCAGAGCAGUCUGGAUAGUUUUAGCACACGCCAGGAAGGCCUGCAUUGUGACUGCAGGUAAAUCACUUGCUGCGUUUGUGCCCCUGCUU
rnacentral:lncRNA from 1 species